rnacentral:rRNA from 1 species
GAUGAACGCUGGCGGCGUGCCUAAUACAUGCAAGUCGAGCGAACAGAUGAGGAGCUUGCUCCUCUGACGUUAGCGGCGGACGGGUGAGUAACACGUGGAUAACCUACCUAUAAGACUGGGAUAACUUCGGGAAACCGGAGCUAAUACCGGAUAAUAUAUUGAACCGCAUGGUUCAAUAGUGAAAGACGGUUUUGCUGUCACUUAUAGAUGGAUCCGCGCCGCAUUAGCUAGUUGGUAAGGUAACGGCUUACCAAGGCGACGAUGCGUAGCCGACCUGAGAGGGUGAUCGGCCAAACUGGAACUGAGACACGGUCCAGACUCCUACGGGAGGCAGAAGUAGGGAAUCUUCCGCAAUGGGCGAAAGCCUGACGGAGCAACGCCGCGUGAGUGAUGAAGGUCUUCGGAUCGUAAAACUCUGUUAUUAGGGAAGAACAAAUGUGUAAGUAACUAUGCACGUCUUGACGGUACCUAAUCAGAAAGCCACGGCUAACUACGUG